UGAUGCAGCAUGCCGCGUGCAGGAGACUGCCCUAUGGUUUGUAAACUCGCUUUUAUAUGGAAAAAAACACCUGGAUUUGUCCCGGCCUGACGGUACCUUAUGAAUAAAGACCGGCUAACUCCGUGCCAGCAGCCGCGGUAAUACGGAGGGUGCGAGCGUUAUCCGGAAUCAUUGGGUUUAAAGGGUCCGUAGGCGGUUAGUUAAGUCAGAGGUGAAAGCCCGCCGCUCAACUGCGGAAUUGCCUUUGAUACUGGCUAACUUGAAUUAAGUUGAAGUGGGUGGAAUGUGUAUUGUAGCGGUGAAAUGCAUAGAUAUGACAUAGAACACCAAUUGCGAAGGCAGGUCACUGCCCCUGUAUUGACGCUGAUGGACGAAAGCGUGGGGAGCGAACAGGAUUAGAUACCCUGGUAGUCCACGCCCUAAACGAUGGAUACUCGCUGUUCGGUCGUAAGACUGAGUGUCCAAGGGAAACCGAUAAGUAACCCACCUGGGGAGUACGUUCGCAAGAAUGAAACUCAAAGGAAAUUGACGG
rnacentral:rRNA from 1 species